rnacentral:tRNA from 1 species
UGAGAUAUGGCUCAGUGGCAUAGCACCUGCCUGGCAAGCAUGAGGUCCUGAGUUCGAUUCCCAGUACAA